GGCUGGUCCGAUGGCAAUGGGUUAUCAGAACUUAUUAACAUUAAUGUCACUAAAGUUGGUAUACCACCCCCCCCCACUGCUAAAUUUGACUGGCUUAAA
ensembl:misc_RNA Y_RNA Y RNA